rnacentral:rRNA from 1 species
AGUGGCGAACGGGUGAGUAACACGUGAGCAACCUGCCCCGAAGACUGGGAUAACACCGGGAAACCGGUGCUAAUACCGGAUGCCCCCACCUGGCCGCAUGACCGGGUGAGGAAAUGGAUUCCGCUUCGGGAGGGGCUCGCGGGCUAUCAGCUUGUUGGUGAGGUAACGGCUCACCAAGGCUAGGACGGCUAGCUGGUCUGUGAGGACGACCAGCCACAUUGGGACUGAGACACGGCCCAGACUCCUACGGGAGGCAGCAGUGGGGAAUCUUGCGCAAUGGGCGANAGCCUGACGCAGCAACGCCGCGUGGGGGAUGAAGGCUCUCGAGUGGUAACCCCUUUCAGCAGGGACGAAAUUGACGGUUACUGCAGAAGAGGCCCGGGCCACUUAGUGCCAGCAGCCCGGGGUAAUAAUCACUAUUGAAUCCCCCGGCCGGCCUGCAGGGUCAAC